UCCCUAGUGGUUCGAUGGUUAGGGCUCCACAUAUUCACUGCUGAAGCCCAGGUUCAAUUCCUGGUUGGGGAA
rfam:TPA: Bos taurus chromosome 3, whole genome shotgun sequence.